rnacentral:rRNA from 1 species
UACAGAGGUCCCAAGCGUUGUUCGGAUUUACUGGGCGUAAAGGGCGCGUAGGCGGCCACCGCAAGUCAGUUGUGAAAGCUCUGGGCUUAACCCAGAAAGGUCAACUGAUACUGCGGGGCUAGAGUGCAGAAGGGGCAACUGGAAUUCUCGGUGUAGCGGUGAAAUGCGUAGAUAUCGAGAGGAACACCUGCGGCGAAGGCGGGUUGCUGGGCUGACACUGACGCUGAUGCGCGAAAGCUAGGGGAGCGAACGGG